UCAGUUAGUGUCUGACCUGCCCAUGUGUUCCACCUACUGGGAUGGCUCCUGGAAGUCACGUGGCAGAGCAUGAUACCCUCAGAGGGACAGAGAAGAGAAGCACAGUAACACAAUCUGUUAUUUGAAGAAACAAGUGUGGAACGGUGGAACUUGGGGAAAGUCUACUCUUCAUCGUAGAGCCUUUCCAGGGGUCACGGAAGGGGACCAAACACUGCAGCUCGUGGACUGCUGGACUCUAGGAUCCGCUUUGGACAUGCUUCUCCUGGCAAAAACAAAGGCUGGAGAGUGCUAGAACGUUCAACAUCUGGAGCCCAAGCAGGGACCUAACAAAACAUCCAAGCACACUGGCCCUGGGGAUGCAUGAUGAUUGUAUGGGAAGAAUAACCGUUGCCUCGGGGCUCUGGGCUAUAUGUGCUGUUUCCUGAAGCCUCAGAAAGCAUGAGACAGCCAGCAGAGACGUCACUUCCAAAAUAUGGACAUUUCUGGAAUUUUCCACAUGCAGAUUCAGUCUGAGGCUGAAGGAAGAGAAAGACUACGAGGCAAGCCAGAUGGAAAACCAGAUAAUCAGAGGGCAGUGUCUGAUGGUGAUGCUGGAAUACACAAAAGAUGUCCCCAGCCCAAUGUCUGAGCACUUUUUUUGCUGUAUUAACCGCUCUUAACCUACUUGGCAUAAGGAAUUCCUCUGAGAAUCUCAGUAAGGUAGACACUCUUCCUCAGAAAGACAUGCAAUUACACAUACACUUUCAGGAGGUUCACAGAGUCCCGGGGAGCCAGGUUCAGAUCUCCUACACUAGAUGACUCAUCUUAUCAUGGAAACUGAGACCUUCAUGCACUAACCUGGGGUGUAUUGAUGGGCACUGCCAACUCUUCUUUACCCACGCUCUGUUCUGACACCUUUCUCAUGGGCAUAUUCCAUCAGGUCCUUAAGAGUGCUGGCACGGCAUAUGCCCCCCUCAAUAAGUCCUUGGUCACACAGGUUACCGUCCAGUCUUGUUGGGGAACCCUGCUGCUAGGGUUGUAGUCCUCCAUGUCCAGAUAGCUCUAAGGGGCUCGGGCGCUAUAUGGAAGGAGUUCCCUU